GAAUGGAAGCGUUGAGGAGGCGUGUGGUUCCAAACAGGAAGAAACUGGGAAAACACGCAUUAAAUACGAUAUCCUCGGACACAGCCUACUAACAGCCUGGGGCAGAUGGUACAAACUACUUUUUCUCCAUGCCGGAGGCCUGUGGACCGUUCCUGGUGUACUCCUUUUAGAUCUGUCCCGCAGUCGGAGGGGCUGUUUGGGGGGGCUGACGCACCAGCAGAAGCGCAGGAAGGCGGGGGGCUGUCAUAGCAGCAGGCUAGGCUAGGCUAGGCUAGGCUAGGCUAAGCCUGGCUAAGCUAACCUAAGCGCUGCAGCCCGGAGAAACCUUGAACUUGUGUAAACUUUGUGGAGUACAACACCGGAAGUAGCAUCACCGGAGUGGUUAAACGACAACCACGGACUCCACAGAUGAGACAAAUAUACACAGACGUCUAUUAUUUUUAUAGUUUUUUUUUUCCUAAAAAGUGUUAGCCUGGCAGCGGACUUAUAGCCAGUUAGCUGUUGAACACAUCCAGGCUCUGGCAGAGGGACGUGAGCGGGAGAAAAUCGCCUCAGUUUGCCCCAUGCACAUCCGCAGAAUGGAUCUAAUUUGCGUUGUUAACCAGUGAAAAGCUAUUGGACGCUAACUAACACAGUGGAUGUUAAUUAAUCACUGAGGUAUCAGCGGAUGAAGAUUGUUUUUUGACACAUAAGAGGGACUUUUUUUCUGUUUUGUCAUAUCGGUUUUUGUGAUAACUUCUGCUUUCCGUUAGUGUGGUUAUCAUGGAGGUAGGGGAGCCUGGCAGCGGCAGCUCGGAGCGGUUACAUAACGCCAGCAGGCCGGUAGAGAAGCUGCUGAACGUCGCCUCCUCUUCAGCCUCCUCAGCCUGGCUCUGACAGCUGUAAACCCCCUCCAGCGCAUACACACACACACACACUAACAGACUCACAGACGCACAAACAAACACAGACAGACUGACAGCAGGACAGCAGCAUGGAGGUGGUGUGAGGCAUCUGGGAGAUAGAAAACAGCAACGAGAAGGAUCGUUUUGCUGAAGAUGGAGUCCAACCCACUGAUUAACGCGAUGGACCCGUCCAUCACGCUGUGGCAGUUCCUGCUUCAUCUGUUGGAGGACCAGCGGCAGCGUCACCUGAUCUCCUGGACAAGUGAGGACGGCGAGUUCAAGCUGCUAGACGCCGAGGAGGUGGCCCGCCUGUGGGGGCUCCGCAAGAACAAGCACAACAUGAACUACGACAAACUGAGCCGGGCACUGAGAUACUACUACGACAAGAAUAUCAUAAAGAAGGUGAGCGGCCAGAAGUUUGUCUAUAAGUUUGUAAGUCAGCCUGACCCCUCCCUCCCCGAUGGGAUACGCAGUAUAGAGGAGGGCCAGAGGAGGGACGUCAGCGACUCAAACAACCAAUCAAAAAGCCUUGGGGGCGUGGCACCAACUUGUCCGACAAAGGGCUUGCCCCAGCGCUCGUCACCCAGCAGCUCCCAGAAGAGCUCCAGAAACGACUACAUGAAGUCCGGCCUCUACUCCACCUUCACCAUCCAAUCCCUGCAGGCCUCACCCAAUCCACGGCCAAUCAAAUCAGAGCUCCUCCUGCAACAAGAGCCUGUCCCCAAAGUUGAUCGCACACCGAGAGAGGUGUGUGUGUUACCGGAGUCUAAAUCCUCUCCGUCCGUGGGGAGCGCUGCGGACUCUGUUCUCCAGGUCAUCGUCACUCAGACGUCUCCCUGUCCGACCCCGGCUCUCAGCCCACAGAUACCAGCCAACUCCAAUGGCCAAUCACAGAAUCCUCCUGCUGCUCCGCUGAGCGACCCUCCCCAGAUUUAUCUCACCAACAUGGGGGACCCGUCCACCCUCAUCACUCUCGGAGGGGGCACGGUGAGCCCCGUCCCCCCUCCUCAUGUCUCAAUGGGCACACAGGGCCCACAGCAGGAGGAUUGUGGGGGCCUUACCAACCCCACCAACUUCCCCUCGCACCACCCGCAUGCUGCUCCUCAUCAGUCUCACCCUGCCCCUGUGUUCGUUAUUAUCAACCCACCUCCCAAUCAGCAGCAGCAACAGGUGCCGAUGACGACUGCUGCUCCUCCUCCCUCUGUCGCUCUUCCUCCCACCGCCCGUCCUCCACCCAUCGUCAUCAAGGAGGAGAAUCUGCCGUCAGAGCAGGAGCUGCUGGAGAUGGUGACACUGGAUGGGAAACGGGUGGAGGAGGUUCCUCAGCUGAUCUGUGACUCGGGAGAGCCAGAGCCUCCCCCCACCAUUGUGGAAAGCCCGCCCCCGCCCUGCAUUGAUGCCGGGGUUGGAGUUCAGCAGCCAGCAGAGGAGGAGAGGACAGAGGGUGAGGGCCAGGACACGCUAACAGAUCCAGUCAUCCCCCCGGUGACGACGUCCUUGCCGGUGACCUCUCCAGCAGCUUCAUCCUCGGACGCCGUUCCUCCGAAACAAAAGAAGCCACGAGGCCUGGAGCUACCCUCCUCUCCCUCCCUGCCCCCCGGCCUCUCCCUCGAUAAGGUGAAUGCAGCAGUUAACAGUUUAUUGGCUCCUGGAUCAGCGACCAACACGCUCACCCCGACUGUCAUCACCUCCCACGCCCUGACUCCGGUCCUGUUGACGCCCAGCCCUCUUCCCUCCACCAUCCACUUCUGGAGCACGCUCAGUCCCAUCGCUCCUCGAUCGCCAGCUAAACUUUCCUUCCAGUUUCCCUCUAACGGCAGUAAUCAGAUCCACAUCCCGGCUCUGAGCGUCGACGGCCUCUCCACCCCCGUGGUCCUCUCCCCGGGGCCCCAGAAGCCCUGAGCUCCCCGCCCGCCUGAAGCAGCUCUUCACCGGGCACAACCUCGCCCAAUGAUCUCCUCAACUCCUGGAGGGUCGGAGGAAAAGCCGGAUCUGCACUGACUCUGAAAUGCAUCACUAAAAACCCGACGCCAUGAGAAGUUUAGGCUGCAUCGGCUGACUCUUUUUGGGUGGGAAUCUGCGCUUUGUCCUCCUUCCACCUUCCUGUUUCUUUCAUAGCUUUGUACUCAAACACUAUGACAGCGGGGUUUCGAGAGAACCAGAUGCUUCUCUCGACUUGAACCCGACACGAGGACAUAAACGGCAACUAAAGGCCACGAGGAGACGGAGGGAUGUUUUUCUCUUUUUCUACUGGUGUUUUUUAAACCUGUCGUUGGAUUUCUUUCUAUAAUAUUGUGAGGUCUUUACCUUGCGAUGCAAAAGUGCUCUGACGUGACUGUUGUCAAAUAAAACAGCUUAACCUUGAAGAUGGCUUUUAUAGCCGGUCUGCUUACUGAAAACUGACAGCAAACAAAUGUCUGUUUUCAAACGGUUUCUUCAGUGUGUGACGGAGGGGAACCGGAGAAAAGCUGGAGCCGUCUCUUAUUUGAGUUUUUACUAAACAGAAGAUUUGACUUGACGUUUUCUGGGAGUAACUGAUCGCGGACUGGAAGGAGGGAACGUUCACAUGUUUGUGUGUAAAAGGAUCUGCAGUUCCUCAUAAUCUCACAUUUUUUCUGAUGGGAUCUUUUGUUUUUUAAAUUCGAGGUUAUUUAUUUCUGUCUUGUUUUCAAUGCACCUUUCUCUGCAGAUUCCUUAAAGGUUCUUGACUGUUUUUAAAACAGUCUCAUCUUUUUUUCCCUCAUUUUUUAAGCUACCAGGCGACUCUCUCCCAGUUGGAAUUUAAUUUCAGCACCAACACUGACAUUUUAUAAACUCACCUUCUGCUGGAUUUCGUCAGAAACGACUUUCAGAGCCAUUUAAGGGUUGUUGCUUUGCUCUUACUGGCCGAUUUUAAAGGUCACGCCUUUCUCUGGUUCUGCAUGGCCUGUUUUUUUUGUUUUUGGUUGUUUAUUGUUUGUUUUGUUUCGAGUGGACUCCUCAGCAGCAUUUCGAACUGACCAAUCACAAAGGAUGAAGAUGACGGUGGACCUGAGGUUUUUCAAAGCCAAGUUCUUUCUCUAUAAAAGUGUCUAAAUGUGACAGAUUGUAUAUUUUCUCACAGAGUUUAAUGUCCAAACUGAACUGAAGUGUCUGUCAGACUUGAUUUAAAGGUUUUACCGAGGACAGAGUCACAUUCCUUUGGUUUUUAAAACAGUGAUAGAUGAGUUUGCGUUACUUAUUAACAACUGCUUAUUGUUUGAAUCUCAGCAGUCAUUCCAGAGAUUUUAUUUGAGCAGCUCUGAAAAAUAAAUGUUUUGUUCCAAAAGCCUUGGAACAAAUCUGCAGUCAUGUUGCCACAAGUUGAAAGAGUCGCAUUUAUUCUCCUUUCACUGAGAGUGUAGGAUAGCCUUUAAUAUAUUGAAAGCUUUUUCCGUGCAAAAACCAACAACAAAGGACCGAGUUUAAUGACACUCUGUCAUACUGGGGCUUAUGAUUGAAACAUUUCAAAUAAUUUGAUCAAUUUGUGUUUAAUAAAGCACCAAAAACCAUAAAAAACAUAAAUUCUCCAACAUCCAAGUCAAAGUCUACGUCCUCAUUUUGUACAAACAUCAGCACAACAUUUCAAAAUUAAAAAGGCAUUAGAAAAGCAUCAGAUGGUCUUUAGUGUCAACCUUGGAACAAGAUGACUAAGAAAAUGUUUUUUUUCCUUUAUGGCUUAAACGCGUAUUUAAUUGGAUCUCUGAAGACAUCCUUGAUGGCAGGGGCUGAUUUAUCUGUUUAUCUGUGUGUGAAAAAAAUUUAGUUCUCUGAAAUUUAAAUAAAAACUAAACUUUCAGAUAAAAUACAAAUACACAGGAACUGGCUCUAACUUUAGUCUUUGUCAGUUUGGUAAAAUUUGCUCUCAGAGUUGAACUUAAACUCCUCGAGGUCAUAAAUAAUCUGACCACAUCAAAUGUCAACGACCUCGUAGUACCAUGUAAUCCCAUCACAACACCUUACUCUCAGACUGCUGGCUUACUUCUGUUUACUGAGUUUCUAAAAUUUAGAGUGAGAGGCACAGCCUUCGGUGUUCAGGCUAAUCUCCACUUUCAGACUCUCUCAGCUUUGCUGCUGUAGGCUCAGCCUGCUGGAGGACUUCCCAUGAUGCACUGAGAGUUCCUUCUCCUCUCCCACCUCUUCACUCCCUGCUGCAGAUCGCAACGUUUUCUUUCUUGAUUCUCGGGUGACGUAUACGUCUGCCCCUCCCUCAGCCUGGUGCUUCUGGAGAUCUCUUCAUGUUUAAAAAGAAAAAGAAGUUCUUUCUGCCCUCUGUGUUGCACACAGGGGAUCAGCUGAUUGUUGGGGUUUUCUCUUCAACCCUGUAGACUCUUUUUGAUUUCAUUCCAAUUAAAUUAAAUAAAAUAAAUUUGAAUGAAAAAGGAAGAAAUGAAACCUUUAAAAACUAACAACUAACACUAAACACUUUCAUUGAUUUAAAAACUAAACUCAAACAAACUAAAAUUGAACUGAAACCUGAUUAACGAUUAAACAUAACUGUGUUAAAUGUUGUCCCGUCAGUUCUUACAGUUGGAUUUGAGAUUAUUCAAAGAUGAGCAUCCUCUAAUCUUCAGUGCACCGCAGUGAUUUUUAUCCACUUAAGAACUUUAAAAGAUCAAAACUCUGCAGAACAAAGUAUCAGAUUAUCAGUUUUAAACAUUUUUUAAAUCCUUGCUGGUAAAGUUUGAUAAUUUUAGGUUGUGAGACAUGCGGUCGUAUGUUUUGUUCUCUCAGCAUCGGCUAUGAAGCAUAUGAGUUUUACUGUACAUGAUUUACAAACAACUAGGAGGCUUCAUGCAUUAGAACAAUGGUUAGUUGGAUUUUGUGCAGUCUUUAGUUUUGUUUACGGACCUUUUCCACUAAUACCUGCUCGGCUCGGUUUUCAGGGUUUCCCAUUAGGUGGUAGUACCUGGUACCUGCUCCAUUGGGGUUCUGAAUGGUCCUAAAAUGUGACUGCAUGUCAACAGACAGCAUGCAGCAGAUGGGCCAGUCAGUGGCGUCCCUCGAUGUGUCAUGAGAGCAAGUCCUUUACAAAAUUCCAAACCGCCAUUUUUGAAAUCCGGCAGUGAGGGAAAGUGGCUCCACACAAACCAACACCGUGAUCCGGUGAUGAGGUGCAGACACUUGGCAUCGGUUUGGCAGCAGGUAUACCAGCGCUUCGAUAUCCUCCACUGUUGUGUUGUGGCGCAUACGAAUGACAUCACAGGAAUUUUGGCGGUGUUGCCACAGCAACCCCAAGGACACUGAUGCGGUUGUAUUAUAAUAGAAAACAACUGAAACAGAGUCGAGCCGAGCAGAUCAGACUGGAUACUUGGUUCUCUCCGAUGACCUGUAGUUUCGCUUGAUUUACACGAACAUGUGAUUUUUAAAGCGUGUUUGACGGGAACUUGUGGCAACAUCGAAAACCUGCAGAGACAAAAAAAAAAGUUUUGUUUUGUUUGUUUGUUUGUUUCCCCCAAAAUUGUAGACAGACACUGACUCAUGUUCCUCUAAAAAAAAAAAAAAAAAACAAAAAAAAAACCCAGACUGUUGAUGUUGUUGUUGUUGUUCGUGUUAUUUCUAAUGCUAGCUGUGGUUGCCACGGUAACCUGACCCGACUGUUGCCGCCCUGCAGGUUGCUGUUGUCAUUGCUGUUGUUAUCGUUGUUGCUGCUGGAGCUGUUAACGUGUUUCUAUGCUUCUGUGUGUGACGCCAAGGCUGCAGACACACACACACACACGCACAAUGCAAUCUUUGUGAGGAUUCAUUGGAGGGGUCGGUCCGUCCAUGCUAACUCAAGCUUUGCUCAGUUACUCGCUGUGAUGUUGCUACUGCUGGCACAUCUUGCGCUCUGGCUCGUUGCGCACUUACACGUCUUUAUCACAUAAAUAAGAUCAUCUCCCACGUUUGCAUCAAGGGUGAGGAGGAAGCUCGGGCAUAGAUACCCAGAAGGUGCAGAACAUGCUCCAAGAAAACAGAAGUUAACGAAAACUUGUGUUCAUAUUUGAAUUACCCCUUUCUCCAAAUUCAUAACAUUAUGUUUCGAUAUUUCAGUGACAUUUCUCUUAAGAUUACAGUUUAGGGUGCACUGCUGUGCCGACCACGCCACAAAUUACUGCAGCAUCACUGCUGUGCUUUUUACCAGCAGCAUGGUGUCAUUACCAAAUCUGUAACUACCUGUUUCUACUUGAAAAGUAUGAUGGGGGAAAGAAAAUACUGCACUAACUGAGCUAAGAGAUUUUUGGUGGCAAAGGUGGGCCCACUGGUGGUAGUCUCUAUGGGAAGGGCUGCCAAAAGAAAUGCACAGUCAUCCAUAUUUCUUCUGUACAAUACUAUGCUUUGGGUUGCAGACCGGUUCAGAAAAAGGCAAGAAAGCGGAAGUUGCUUUGCUCCAACAGUGUUUAAAGUUCAACAGACAAGUUGGAGAAAUUUAGGCAGGCGUUGAAGCGCAGCAGGAGCUGCACUUUUCUGCACUUCCACUAAUGGCCAAAGUGAGUCAGUCACUAUUGACUCAUGUUCAAAUGUCCAACUUAGGUAAAAUGGUCUUUGCACCUAGAGCAGGGCGAUAUGGCCAAAAAUAUUUAUCACGAUAUAUAUUUGAAAAUUUGCGAUAACGAUAUA